rfam:Candida auris strain 6684 Scaffold28, whole genome shotgun sequence.
AAUUAAGAGAACAUGAUGUUGGUUCAGAACAAAUGCUAUGUAGAAGCAUAACACAUGCAAGUUAUAUAUAUAAAUUAUUUGAGAAUUUUCUCAUAUAAUAAAUAUAUUAGCGAUCGGGUGAGUGAUAAAUAAAAUAUAAAUAAUAUUUUAUUCAGAUGUAGGUAUUAGAAUUAUAUUUCUAGCCAAAGAACUGGAGCCGAUGAUUAUCGUCAGAACGGUCACAUUGAUAUAUAUAUAUCAACUCUAUUAUAGAGCAGCAGUGGGGAAUCUUUGACAAUGGUCUAACGACUGAUCAAGUUAUCUACAAGAAGGAAUUUAUAAUAAAUAUAUAUAAAUAUAUCCCCUUCGGGGGGAUAUAUUUAUAUAUACUAAUUAAUAUAAAUAAAGAGAAAUACUAUAAACUUCUGAAUAAUUAUAAUAAUGAUAUAAUUAUGAAAUAGUCCCAACCAAAACAUGUGCCAGCAGCUGCGGUUAGACAUGGGGGGCAAGCAUUGUUCAAUAAGGCUUAAAGGUUCUGUAGAACGUAAUAUAAUUUAUAUAUAAAUAUAAAUUAAAAUAGAAUAAAUUUAAAUAAGUAUAAUGAAAAAGAUUUAUAUAGGUGAAAUGAGACAUUAAAUUUUAGACAGCCAAUAAUAUACUUAUAAUUUAUUGACGUUGUGGGAAGAAGGCUACGGUAGCAAAAUGGAUUCGUUAACCGUGUAGUCGUAGCUGUGAACUAUGAAUACUUUAAUUAUUUUAAAUAUAAAUAUUUAAAAUAGAAAAGUGAAAAUGAAAAGUAUUCCGCCUGACGAGUAAGCUCGCAAGAGUGAAAAACAAGACAUUAGACGGUCUUAGUUAUUAGCAGUGGAACAUGUCGUUUAAUUGGAUUAUCCUCCUAAAACCUUACCAUCUUUUGAAUAUUUAAUAAAUAUAUAUAUAUUUAUUAUUUACAGGCGUUACAUCGUUGUCGUCAGUUCAUGUUGUGAAAUAUUUUAUUGAGUUACUUAAUGAACGAAAUCCUAGACCUUAUUAGGUAUAUGUAUUAUUUAAUCGUAAUAGGAAGUAUAGGUUGAAGGCUAAUCAUGAUGACCUUUAUAAGAUGGGCUACUGACGUGUUACAAUAUUAUUGACAAUUAUAUAAUUACUUUAUAUUUUAUUAAUUAUAUUAAACAAUAAUAAUUGGAAUUAAGUAUUCAUUAAAAGGAUUAUAACCUGAAAUUCGGUUAUAUGAAUAAGGAAUUGCUAGUAAUCGUGAACUACUGUGUCACGGUGAAUAAAAAAACUAUUUCGUACUAACUACUCAUCAACAGCAGGAAAUUUAUAGUCUUUAUGAUAUAUAUUUUUUAUAAAAAUAUAUAAAAAAAAGUUUAUAAAUGACUUGUUGUAAGUUGUAAUACGGUUCGAUUAGGGGAACCUGAUCGGGAGUUAUAUUUUUU